UACGAGGGGGGCGAGCGUUGUUCGGAAUUAUUGGGCGUAAAGGGUGCGUAGGCGGUUUGGUAAGUCUUGUGUGAAAUCUCCAGGCUCAACUUGGAGUCUGCACGAGAAACUGCCGGGCUUGAGUGUGGGAGAGGUGAGUGGAAUUCCCGGUGUAGCGGUGAAAUGCGUAGAGAUCGGGAGGAACAUCAGUGGCGAAGGCGGCCAUCUGGAUCAACACUGACGCUGAGGCACGAAAGCGUGGGGAGCAAACAGG
rnacentral:rRNA from 1 species